UACGUAGGGUGCAAGCGUUGUCCGGAAUUAUUGGGCGUAAAGGGCUCGUAGGCGGUCCAUCGCGUCGGGAGUGAAAAGCUGGGGCUUAACCCCAGUCCUGCUUCCGAUACGGGUGGACUAGAGGUAGGUAGGGGAGAUCGGAAUUCCUGGUGUAGCGGUGAAAUGCGCAGAUAUCAGGAGGAACACCGGUGGCGAAGGCGGCAUCCUGGACCGAUAUUGACGCUGAUGCGCGAAAGCCAGGGGAGCAAACGGG
rnacentral:rRNA from 1 species